GAUGAACGCUAGCGGCAGGCUUAAUACAUGCAAGUCGAGGGGCAGCGCAGUGUAGCAAUACAUGGGCGGCGACCGGCAAACGGGUGCGGAACACGUACGCAACCUUCCUUCAAAUGGGGAGUAGCCACCGAACGGUGGAAUUAAGUGAUCCCGUAAAUUUUAUCGGGUAGGUGCAUGCACCUGAUUAUUAUAGCUCCGGCGUUUGAAGAUGGGCGUGCGCCUGAUUAGGUAGUUGGCGGAGUAACAGCCCACCAAGCCUACGAUCAGUAACUGGUGUGAGAGCACGACCAGUCACACGGGCACUGAGACACGGGCCCGACUCCUACGGGAGGCAGCAGUAAGGAAUAUGGUCAAUGGACGCAAGUCUGAACCAGCCAUGCCGCGUGGAGGAUGAAGGUCCUCUGGAUUGU
rnacentral:rRNA from 1 species